rnacentral:rRNA from 1 species
AUGGGGGCGAGGCAGCGCGGCGAGAGAGGGGGUAUCUCGACGUCCAAAAGGUCGAGGCUGGCGGCGGCGGCGGACGCGGCGUCGUGGUGCCUCGCGCUGGCGGCGCUGGCGGCGCUGCUGCUGGUGUGCUCGCUCGGGGAGACGUCGGAGGCCGCGGUGGUGGUGCGGGGCGCGUCGCUGUCGGCGCGGUGGCGGCCGUGCGAGGAGGUCUACGUGGUGGCGGAGGGGGAGACGCUGCACGGCAUCAGCGACCGCUGCGGCGACCCCUACAUCCUGGAGCGCAACCCGCACGUCCACGACCCCGACGACGUCUUCCUCGGCCUCGUCCUCAGGAUCACGCCCUCCCUCCAUCUUGAAGCCGUCCGUCCCCGCUAG